rnacentral:tRNA from 1 species
GUUCUUGUAGUUGAAUACAACGGUGGUUCUUCAAAUCACAGGUUUCGGUUAGAGUCCGAGCAGGAAUU